CCAUUCGUUCUAUUUUCCCAAUUCUUUCCCCCAUUCCGUCUAUUUUCAUCAAUAGGCGACGAACUCCAAAUUUUCUAACUUCAGUUUCUUCUAUUUUUCCUAAUCUGUUUCUUUGGCUAGAAGAAUUGAGAUUCAAAUCUCAAAAAGUACAUAAAAUUCGUGUAUCAGCUUCAAUAAUCUUCAGGAAAGAAUUGAAGAAAUUCGAAGUCAAAGAGCAGAAAAUCUUGACGAACCUUCACCCAAUGAUGCACUUGGCAUAGUAUUCGGUCCCGAGCACCCCGGCCGUGUUCGAGGUUUAGGCAUGGGUAUAGUUCCAACUGUAGCAUUCAAACAUACAUUUGCGAUAUACCAUCAUGGUUAUGUGGGUUCAUCUAGCACUACCGCUCCAACUCCAGAGUGGCAACAAGAGAUGACAGAUGUGAAAUCAAAAUUAAAUGCACUAAUUAGCUUAUAUGAAAGGAACAUAGGGAAUGUCCUUGAGGAGUGCUCACUUAUUUUCCACUCCUCCACAGGCACCAGAUUUAGGAAGUGGUGAACCAUCAACAGUUUGAACCAAGAAGAUCUUUAGAUGAAAGUAACAAUGAUGAUGGUCCAAGUGCAAAUUAGUGAUUAUUUUGUAGGAUCAACUAUGAAUCUUGUGGAUAUUAAUGUUAAAAAAAAUGCAAUUUGAAACAUUAAUAUUUUGAUGAUAUAAUUUUGGUAUACUUGUGUUUUAUAUAAUGAAUAUUUUUCUUA